rnacentral:rRNA from 1 species
AGAGUUUGACCCUGGCUCAGGACGAACGCUGGCGGCGUGCUUAACACAUGCAAGUCGAGCGAGAGCCAGUUGAGGGGUAACCCUCGGCUGGGGACAGCGGCGAACGGGUGCGUAACACGUGGGCAACCUGCCCCUGACACUGGGAUAACCCCGGGAAACCGGAGCUAAUACCGGAUACUCUCGGCCGAUCACAUGGCUGGCCGAGGAAAGGUCCGCCGGUCAGGGAUGGGCCCGCGGCCUAUCAGCUUGUUGGUGGGGUAACGGCCUACCAAGGCGACGACGGGUAGCUGGUCUGAGAGGACGACCAGCCACACUGGAACUGAGAUACGGUCCAGACUCCUACGGGAGGCAGCAGUGGGGAAUAUUGCACAAUGGGCGAAAGCCUGAUGCAGCGACGCCGCGUGAGGGAUGAAGGCCUUCGGGUCGUAAACCUCUUUCGGCAGGGACGAAGCGAUCAGUGACGGUACCUGCAGAAGAAGCCCCGGCUAACUACGUGCCAGCAGCCGCGGUA